rnacentral:rRNA from 1 species
AUUGAACGCUGGCGGCAGGCCUAACACAUGCAAGUCGAGCGGAGCGGCGGACGGGUGCGUAAUGCCUAGGAAUCUGCCUGGUAGUGGGGGACAACGCCCGGAAACGGGCGAUAAUGCCGCAUACUAUCAGACGAGCCUAGGUCGGAGUAGCGAGUUGGUGGGGUAAAGGGCUACCAAGGCGACGAUCCGUAACUGGUCUGAGAGGAUGAUCAGUCACACUGGAACUGAGACACGGUCCAGACUCCUACGUGAGGCAGCAGUGGGGAAUCUUGGACAAUGGGCGAAAGCCUGAUCCAGCCAUGCCGCGUGUGUGAAGAAGGUCUUCGGAUUGUAAAGCACUUUAAGUUGAGAGGCGUUACCAACAGAAUAAGCACCGGCUAACUUCGUGCCAGCAGCCGCGGUAAUAC